GAUGAACGCUAGCGGCAGGCUUAAUACAUGCAAGUCGUGGGGCAGCAGGUUUGUAGCAAUACAGAUGCUGGCGACCGGCAAACGGGGUGCGGAACACGUACAGAACCUUCCUUUGAGCGGGGAAUAGCCCAGAGAAAUUUGGAUUAAUACCCCAUAAGUAUAAUGAAGUGGCAUCACUUUAUUAUUAAAGAUUUAAUCACUCGAAGAUGGCUGUGCGGCUGAUUAGGUAGUUGGCGGGGUAAAGGCCCACCAAGCCUGCGAUCAGUGACUGGUGUGAGAGCACGACCAGUCACACGGGCACUGAGACACGGGCCC
rnacentral:rRNA from 1 species